rnacentral:misc_RNA from 1 species
GAUGAAGAACGUAGCGAAAUGCGAUAAGUAAUGUGAAUUGCAGAAUUCAGUGAAUCAUCGAAUCUUUGAACGCACAUUGCGCCCCCUGGUAUUCCGGGGGGCAUGCCUGUUCGAGCGUCAUUUCACCACUCAAGCCUCGCUUGGUAUUGGGCGACGCGGUCCGCCGCGCGCCUCAAAUCGACCGGCUGGGUCUUUCGUCCCCUCAGCGUUGUGGAAACUAUUCGCUAAAGGGUGCCGCGGGAGGCCACGCCGUAAAACAACCCCAUUUCUAAGGUUGACCUCGGAUCAGGUAGGGAUACCCGCUGAACUUAAGCAUAUCAAUAAGCGAGGA